rnacentral:pre_miRNA from 7 species
UUUCGGGGUUCCUGGGUGUCAUGCAGAUCUCGCUGGGGCCUCCAAAUGAAAGAACCUAGUGGGGAAACUCCCACUCAAUUCCCGAUUCGACGUGUACCCAAGAAUCACGAACAGAACA